GACGAGCCUGACGAACGUUAUUCGGAAUCACUGGGCUUAAAGGGCGCGUAGGCGGAUCUUUAAGUCGGGGGUGAAAGCCCAGGGCUCAACCCUGGAAUUGCCUUCGAUACUGAAGAUCUUGAGACCGGAAGAGGUUAGUGGAACUGCGAGUGUAGAGGUGAAAUUCGUAGAUAUUCGCAAGAACACCAGUGGCGAAGGCGGCUAACUGGUCCGGUUCUGACGCUGAGGCGCGAAAGCGUGGGGAGCAAACAGG
rnacentral:rRNA from 1 species